rnacentral:pre_miRNA from 1 species
AUACAGGCCUGAUCCAAAGCCCGUUGAAAUCAAUGAGAGUCUUUCCAUUGACUUCAGUGAGAUUUAGAUCAGGCCCUUAU